GACGAACGCUGGCGGCGUGCUUAACACAUGCAAGUCGAACGGAGUCUAAAAAUUACCACUGAGAUCUUAGUCAGUGGGCGAGUAGCGUCAUGGACACGAAGUGGCCAUCACGCGUUAAAAAAGUGCCAACACAGGAUUGAGGCCUGAGUGGUGAUUUUUAGACUGAGUGGCAAACGGGUGAGUAACACGUAGGCAACCUGCCGACAGGAUGGGGACAACAUUCCGAAAGGAAUGCUAACACCGAAUGGAGUCCGGAGAUGGCAUCAUCUCCGGAUAAAAGAUGGCCUCUUAGCAAUGCUAUCGCCUGUCGAUGGGCCUGCGUCUGAUUAGCCAGUUGGCGGGGUAACGGCCCACCAAAGCGACGAUCAGUAGCCGGUCUGAGAGGAUGAACGGCCACAUUGGGACUGAGACACGGCCCAGACUCCUACGGGAGGCAGCAGUGGGGAAUCUUCCACAAUGGGCGAAAGCCAGAUGGAGCAACGCCGCGUGAGUGAAGAAGGUCUUCGGAUCGUAAAGCUCUGUUGCACGGGACGAAAACCGGGUUUGAGAAUAUUGAACUUGGGGACGUACCGAGCGAGGAGCCAC
rnacentral:rRNA from 1 species